GAGUACUUGAUUUCCUCAAAGGAUGCAUUCAGCUUGCUAACGAGAUGGGAAUGUCACCAUUUUCAUGUUGUAGAAACAAGAAUGUUCUGGGCUGGCUGAAUGAACUAAGUGGCCUCUGCACCUCUGGAAAAAUCAAGCAUAGCACCUGACUCAAAAAACUCUGAUGGAACUCCUUAUAUAAGGCAGGUUAAAAACAUGCAGAUCAUGGGAAAACACUUGCUACUUAAGAUGCAGAACUACAGUAUCCAGCUAGAAUGGCAGUGGCUGUGUGUGCAAACACCUCAUGUCUUUGCACCAACAGCUUUUA